CAACCUCAUGGUUCGUAAUCGGAUUCAUUAACCACUGCGGCACGAUGGGAACUCCUUUUUUGUUUUUUGUUUUGUUUUUUUUUUUUUGGUUUUUUUGUUUCUUUUGUUUGUUUGCAUUUUCUAAGGAACUGUCACCUUUGUGCCCCAACACCGUUCACAUCACCUGACCUUUCCUGGGCAUUCAGUGAAUGAGCCACGCUUUCAGAAGGCGCGGGAGGGGAAACCAGGAGAUCUGACGUGGAACCCGCAGCUCUGAUGAGUUGAGGAUGAGCUACUCAAGGGUCCCUGUCUUCCACAGCCAACAGCUUCCAGAGACAAAGCAGAUUUGGUGUGUGCGGAUUUCCCCUCUGAAGGGAGUACAAACUCACUGAUCCCUUCCACUUGAACCAGGCCUCUGCUGCCAGGGGAUCCUUUCCAGAACGUAACCACUGGAGGGAGAGCAGAGCCACCUGUCUCCUGACUCCCUGGCCCACAGACCACAUCCCCAGACUGUGCACAAACCGUGACGGAAACCGUGGCUACUGGCUCUGCCCAUCCAGCCAGAUGUGGGAGAAAGACAAGAGGAGGGACUUGGUCUGGCACCCCUGGGUGCCAUCCUCAGCUGGUCUUUGCGUUCAUUCUGACCCAGACGGCAAUCCUGGGCCCCCCUCUACUCAAGCAGGUGUUGGAGGAGGUCACUGGGAGGGCGUGGUCAUCAAAGGCUCCUCCCCUCCUCCUGGCCCACGUAAGGUGAGUUCUGCUUGCCUCUCCCCACUAGAAGCUGCCCAAGGACCCAGCCUUGAAGUCAUAAGCUGCUCUGUAGACCCUCUGGAAGGUGUAUGUGUUUGUACCCAGUCACAGCCUCUAUAUAAACCUUUCAGAUUCUGACUGGGAGAGGGCACCAAGACCUGCUCAUCUUGCACCUGCCUAGGACAGGACAGGCUUAUGUGUAAGGUCCCUUGCUUAUGAAACCUGCCAGCUACCAAUUUAAUAUCUGCUGCUUUCCUGUCUCUCCCUCCCCUCUGCGUUCAGGGAACCCAGUUCCGAUUAUACCCAGGGAAGUUCCCGAGGUUUUAAAUUAGCAGCAGGGCCAGAGGGGUAUCUUCAAGAUCUUCUUCCCAGGAGAAUGCGGGGGGUGGGGGGCAUGGAGGGCAGGUUGUAAGGGUUGGGGGAUGCUGAAGGGAGUUCUUCACCCACCUCAGAUGCCUCUGCAAGUUAUAGUAUGGAGCCCUGGGAUAGACACUCUCCCUACAAGGACCAGAAAGUCACAUAGCUGAGCUCAACAAACUUUUGUUUUCUUUUUGGCCAUACCCUGGGCAUGCAGAAGUUCCCAGGCUGGGGACUGAACCUGUGCCACAGCAGUGACAAUGCUGGAUCCUUAGUUGGCUAGGCCACCAGGGAACUCCUCAACCAACUUUUAACAGGCACCUAUGAUGUGCCAGCUAAUUAUGCCAAGAGCCAGUCAGAUAGGGAUAAUUUUUUUUUUUUUUUUUGUCUUUUUACCUUUUCUAGGGCCGCUCCCGCAGCAUAUGGAGUUCCCAGGCUAGGAGUCUAAUCGGAGCUGUAGCCUCCGGUCUACACCAGAACCACAGCAACACGAGAUCCAAGCCAUGUCUGCGACUUACACCACAACUCACAGCAACACCAGAUCGUUAACCCACUGAUCAAGACCAGGGAUCGAACCCGCAACUGCAUGGUUCCUAGUCGGAUUCAUUAACCACUGCGCCACAAUGGGAACUCCCAGAUCCCAGAUAGGGAUAAAUUUGACCUGGCUUCUCACCAGGAAAAAAAAAAAAAGCAUCUAUACAUAUAGAAAAAUAACCAUAAUACCUGGAAAAUGAUGACAAGAGAUGCAAGCAAGGUGCUUUAGGAAAGAUGAUUUCCCUGUGGGAAUUCAACAAAGACUUCUGGAGGAGGUGGCGUUAUUUAAGCUGAACUUUGAAGUGAGAGUAAAAUUUGGACGUGAGACAUUAUUGUUUGGGGAAUGGGGUGGGUGGAAUAGUAAAGAGAGUGGAGGCUUUUCUAGCUGCAAUGUCUGUUGUCGAAUUGUAUCACCUGACAUUGCUGAUAUUUUACUGUUUCACCUACAGUAACAUGGAUGUCAGAUGCUAGAACGUAACACUUCCCAGGGAAGUGGAGACAGGGACCCCAGGUUGUAGAGAGAAAACAAGGAAGGAGUUCAGUGUCUAUCCGUAGCUGGUAAACAUUGCACCCAGUUUCCCCUUUUGACCAUCUACAGAUAGAAAUCUAGGGAUGGCAUUUUCCUGAUAUUGCAAAGUCGGUCGAUUGUCCAAAGACUUGCACUUUCGAAUCAGACUGAACUGGAAGGCACUAUUGCACCCUCAAGUCUGAAAGAUUUGAGUUCAAAUCCUGGCUCUACAACUUGUGAGCUAUACGACCCGCUUCGUGACCUUCUCCAUACUUGGCUCACCUGGAAAUCGGUGGUAAUAACAGCACUGCCCUUCCUCCUAAGAUGGUGGAGAUGAUUAUGGGAGGUGAUGCCUGCAUUGCUUAACGCAACAGCUGGCCCUCGGGACCUACCCAGCAGCGCUGUAACCCUGUGUCAAGAGGCACUGCAGAUGACAUGGUAGCCACACAUCAUAAAGGCAAUGCCAUCCUCAUUUCGGUGGAGGUGACAAGACUGUGACCUAUUUUAGCACCUCCUUCAGUCAUAAGCAAAGGAGGAAAGGAGACAAACGGAAACACAACGCUUGAGUUUCUCAGGCCAGGUGACAAGAAUAACCAGGGCUGGACCUGAUCCUGUAAAGCCCUUCGAUUGCAUGCAAACUUCAGAGCAAACCCGCUAAGGAAUUUCAGUUCCCAGGUCUCCCCUGGCAGGCACACCUGGCACAGAGAUGGGUUCUUUGCGCAAAAGCCUUUCUGCCAAGCGACCAACUCAACCACCAUGGAGUGGUUCCUGGGAAAGCAGCCGAGAUCCCGGGAUGGCAGGCUUGCUUGGGCACCAGAGGUGCAGGAAAAACAGACACUUGGCUUUCCAGGAAAGGAAAUCUCGGCCAAUUAGGAAAAUCUAAAACCAGAGAGGUAAGGCAGCCAAGGGCACAUCCCGUCUGGAAAGCUCGGGGUGGGGACAGGCACCAACCGGGUGAGGGGUGGCUAACCCGUCUUGGUUCCCAGCCUGCCACUUCAUCUGAAGCCAUUUCCUGCUGCGCAUGGGGACAGCGUCCUACCACCACCAGGAAGACUGGCUUGUGUAUUUUAUCAUCAUCAUCAUUAAGGAUUUUUAAAUGAAAUUUGGGAUUCGAACGUCAAUAGCCCUUGGGAUGGGCCACUGCUUGGAGAGUAAGAGCGCUUUGGGAACAUUCUCUGCCAGCCUCCCCUGGCCCUCCCGCCUGCCCUUCCCCCUCAUCACUGUCCUUGGCGACCUACAUCUCCAACCAGAGGGGGUGUAGGACCAUCAAGGGGGCCUGCUCUGUCCCCGUUUCCGGCAGGUUCCUCAGGCCAGCUUGGCUGGCAUCUUCCUGCUUCUGGGUUCAUUUUCUACCACUCCCUCCCACCCAAAAAGAAUUGGUGGAUAUGGGGCAGGAGUGCGUUGUGAACAUCCUGAGACAGGGUCCUCUCUGGGGACCGGAGCCCCCUGUAAAAGCGCUCAGGGCAGCACUUCUCCCUGCUGCCCCGAACAAUUUCCUCGCAGUUUAAAUUUUCAUUUAAAGUCACCAUUUCCAGUCCUACUGACAAGUCUGCAAGGUCGGAAAGUGGCCCUGGCUGGGAGCAGCGGCGCGGGCAGCAGGCAGCCAGGCCUGGCCGGUGUGUUGACAGCUGGGAGCCAUCCCGGCGGCCUGGGGACCAGUUCACGCUGCGAGAUCGGUUCCGCCCACCCUGACUGGGCCAGAGCUCCUGCCAUGCAGCUCCAGGCCCUCGCACUCAGGAGGCGUCUUCUCUGUCCUUCCCUCUGCAGCGUCAGCAGGCCUGGCUCUUCACCUCACCUCCUCGAGGGAGCUCUGGAGAAUUUCCCCUCUAAUUUCAAAGACAGCAUCUCCUACUUGGUCCCACUGUGACUGCCUUUAAAGACUAAAGCUACCCAGGGAGAUCAUUCGGCCAAAGGUCAGAGGGCUCAGCCCCAUGCCGGGCUCCCUGAUGCAAAAUAAGUGAGUCCACAGGCCCAUCUCGGGAGAAAUGGGACAGGAGGACCCCCAGGGUUGAGACCCCUCUUGCUCAUGGAUUCAAGUUCCCAUGUAUACUGGCAGCAGCCCGGGAGUGGAGUCUUUCCCCAGGAGGUGACAUUGGCAUUGCAUCUUGAAAAAGGAAGAGGCGCCAGGGGAGAGGGACAGUAUUUGUCAAAGACCAGGAGACAGGCAUUCUGAGCCCUGGGGCUGUUUCUGGUUUGUGAAAAGCAGGAAGUCCCCUGAGCGGAGUCUGCAGAGAGGCCUGGAGCCAGACCAGGAAUGGCCUCCCGGGUAAAUGUUCAACAAGCAGCUGUGGGCCGAACUGGGCAAGUUGCUGACAUGUAAUAUCUGUACCAAUUUCCGUGGUGUAAAUACCUCCCUCCAUGGCAGGUUUCAAUCUACCAAUAGUUUGACUCGCAACUCACAAAAAUUCCUGGAGAUUUAACAGUCAGUUUGCAAACUGCAAAGGCCAGCUCCAACAGCAAUGGUGCUUCACACAUCAGAUGUAACCCCCCCCUCCCCGUCCCCACUCCCCCAUUCCCUGCCAAAGAAUCUCUACAAAGGCCUUGGGGAAGGGGCCCCAUUAAUUAACCCAGUCUCCCUCACCUCUCCUUGCCCAUAGCUGUUCCUUCUAUCUGCCUCAUGGACACAGGCGUGAAGCUCAGUCACUUUUCCUGGAGAUCCACAAAAAAAUGCUCCGUCACACAGCGUAGCCACCCUGUGGAGGGGAGAAGGCCCACAUCACAACGAUGCUAAUGACAUCAAAUGUUAAACUGCCCAUUCUUAAAUUUUCCCUUAGCCAUUUCCAUCAUGCUGGGCUUUGGUUCCUGCCAUAGUUCUUUGUCCCCCUCUCUCCAAUCUUGACCGACUCCCUCUGUCCUUGACCCCCCCCCCUUCCUCCAAGCCCUCCUAUCUAUCAAAGAGAGCAAUUUGGCCCUUUCUCCCCACCCCUGGCCCAGGCCUUCACUGCUUGGUGCAAAUCCAAGCCACCAAUGGCUAUUUCCAGUCCGAAGGACUUCUGGGCAUGGAGAGAAAUGUUGACCAUGAUUUAUAUCUAGUUUAAUGCCCAUUUAAUGUCCACUAAUCUUAUGAAAUUAUAGUUUAAAAUUAUGAAGAGUUUAUCAGCAUUCUUUUAAAUAUGCACACAUUGCUAGUAGCUACUAAAUUAAACAUUCAUUGUAAACAACAAUGUACCACCACACACCUGUCGGACGGACCAAAACCCAGAGCAUGGACAGCACUGAUGCUGGCAGGAUGUGGAGCAACAGGAACGCUCAUUCAUCGUUAGUGGGAAUGUAAAAAAAUGGUGCAGCCAACAUUUCUCACAGAGCUAAACAUAGUCUUACCGUCCGAUCCAGCCGUCGCCAUCCACGGUCUUUACCUAAACGCGCUGAAACUCGCCCACACAAAAACCUGCACACAAAUAUCUAGAGCAGCUUUUUCAUAAUUACCAAAACUUGGGAGCAACCAGGGAGUCCUUCAGCAGGUGAAUGGACAAACUGAUACAGCCAGAAAAUGGAAUAUCAUUUAGAACUAAAAGGGAAGAGAAGAAAAAAAGAAAAAAAAAAAAAAAAAAGAGCUACCAAGCCAUGGAAA